rnacentral:rRNA from 1 species
UACGUAGGGGGCAAGCGUUGUCCGGAUUUACUGGGCGUAAAGAGCGUGUAGGCGGCCACGCAGGUCCGUUGUGAAAACUCGAGGCUCAACCUCGAGAUGUCGGCGGAAACCGUCUGGCUAGAGUCCGGAAGAGGAGAGUGGAAUUCCUGGUGUAGCGGUGAAAUGCGCAGAUAUCAGGAAGAACACCUAUGGCGAAGGCAGCUCUCUGGGACGGUACUGACGCUGAGACGCGAAAGCGUGGGGAGCGAACAGG